ensembl:lncRNA
CAGAACCCAACAGAACAUGGAAACCAGAUAUCCAGGCUUCACAGCGCAGAGGAGCCCCCAGCAAGUUCGUGAACAGCCAGGAUAUUUUGCUGUUUGCCCCUUCCCAGAGGCCGGAACUCGGGAGAGCUCACCGGCUGAAUGUGUGGAAACACAGUUGGUGCUGCCUCAGGACGCCCCCCGAGAGGCUUCUGGCCCUUUGCCUAAAAACAGAAACGUAACAGGGGAGCUCCAGCCCAGGCCAGCUCCAGCACUGGCCUCUCAUUACAACCAGACUCCACUUCCAAGCCUUGUCCCUACAGCUGUGGGUACUACAGGUGCAGGAUCCAGGGAUCCACUGAGGGGACAUCGAGACCUGAGACUUCCCUUCCCAGACACCGAGCCAGCUGGGUACUGGCCAGCACACUGGGCAUAUCGGACCUCUGUGCCUGCAGGACCCCCAGCCACAGGCACCGAUGUCCCACCCCUCAGAGAGAACAUCCACCUCCACCUGCAACUGUACCUGCUCAGGCUUUGGCAGGAGAAUCCGAGACAGAGCAUAAGUUACCGCCUCUGCAGGGAGAGCCUGCCCUGGCUCCUGCCCAAGACUCGGAUGCCCACGAUAACUGAUGCACCCCUGCAGGGAGAAUGGGCCCCCCCCUCUGGACAGAGACCUGGAGCCCUUUCUGGAAACACCUUGUCCAGGGGAGUGGUUGGCUCUGCAGCCUCCGUCCUUGCCUGCUUCCUGUAGAUGCCAUCAACUCGCUCCCCACCCAGGGCAGCUUGAGUGCCCCUACUCUGAGCUUAUUUGCAUCUCGUAUGUGUAUAGCUGUCUUGUGAUGUUUUAUUUUUUUAUGGCUUUAUGUAUUUUUUUCUCUGUUAGGUUUCUGUUAGUAAAAUUUACUUUAAUUGAUGCAAUUUGGGAAUUAUAAGGCCUUCACAGUGCUGUGUAACCAUCACCAAUGCCUUCAUACGUACCUUCUCAUUCUAUCCUCCGACUUCCCAGCAAAUUCAUGUCAAGCACUCCCCAUUUCGCCUUCCGCCACCUGACAACAUUUAGUCUUCUUCUUUCUCCACUUCUUCCCAUUCUUUGGGUGUCCGCAAUCAAUGCCAGUCACUGAAAUUAUAGAAAAAACGAUUUUUUUUUUUUCUGGCAGAGAGGGAACUUUAUAGGUGCUUAGUCUCGUAAGACUCUUUGCAAUCCCAUGGUUUUUAAAGUCCGUGGAGUUAUCUAGGCCAGAAAACUGGAAUGGGUAACUUUUCCUUUCUCCAGGGGAUUUUUUUCUGACUCUCCACAUAUCUAUCCCACGUUGAAGGUCAGGAACGGUGGUGGUAAGGAGAUACCCCCUCAUCCAAGUUAAGGAGGAGUGGCUGUGCUUUCCUGGAGCAGCCGUGAAGAGUUACCCCACGCCCAAGGUAAGAGAAAACUAAGUAAGAUGGUAGGUGCUGCAAGAGGGCAUCAGAGGGCAGACACACUGAAAGCAUACUCACAGAAAACUAGUCAAUCUAGUCACACUAGGACCACAGCCUUGUCUAACUCAACGAAACCAAGCCAUGCCUGCGGGGCAACCCGAGACGGUAGGGUCAUGGUGGAGAGGUCUGGCAAAGCGUGGUCCACUGGAGAAGGGAAUGGUAAGCCGCUUCAGUAUUCUUGCCUUGAGAACCCCAUGAACAGUAUGAAAAGGCUAAAUGAUAGGAUACCAAAAGAGGAACUCCCCUGGUCAUUAGGUGCCCAAUAUGCUACUGGAGAUCAGUGGAGAAAUAACUCCAGAAAGAAUGAAGGGAUGAAGCCAAAGCAAAAACGAUACCCAAUUGUGGAUGUGACUGGUGGUAGAAGCAAGAUCCGAUGCUGUAAAGAGCGAUAUUGCAUAGGAACCUGAAAUGUCAGUCCAGGAAUCAAGGCAAAUUGGAAGUGGUCAAGCAAGAGAUGGCAAGGGUGAACGUCGACAUUCUAGGAAUCAGCAAACUAAAAUGGACUGGAAUGGGUGAAUUUAACUCAGAUGACCAUUAUAUCUAUACUGAAGGCAGGAAUCCCUCAGAAGAAAUGGAGUAGCCAUCGUGGUCAACAAAAGAGUCUGAAAUGCAGUACUUGGAUGCAAUCUCAAAAAUGACAGAAUGAUCUCUUUUCGUCUCCAAGGCAAACCAUUCAAUAUCACAGCUAUCUAAGUCUAUGCCCCAACCAGUAAUGGUGAAGAAGCUGAAGUUGAACGGUUUUAUGAAGACCUACAAGAUCUUUUAGAACUAACCCCCAAAAAAGAUGUUCUUUUCAUUAUAGGGGACUGGAAUGCAAAAGUAGGAAGUCAAGAAACACCUGGAGUAACAGGCAAAUUUGGCCUUGGAGUGUGGAAUGAAGCAGGGCAAAGACUAAGAGAAUUUUGCCAAGAAAAUGCACUGGUCAUAGCAAACACCCUCUUCCAACAACACAAGAGAAGACUCUACACAUGGACAUCACCAGAUGGUCAACACUGAAAUCAGAUUGAUUAUAUUUUAUGCAGCCAAAGAUGGAGAGGCUCUAUACAGUCAACAAAAACAAGACCAGGAGCUGACUGUGGCUCAGAUCAUGAACUCCUUAUUACAAAAUUCAGAAUUAAAUUGAAGAAAGUAGGGGAAAUCGCUAGACCAUUCAGGUAUGACCUAAAUCAAAUCACUUAUGAUUAUACAGUGGAAGUGAGAAAUAGAUUUAAGGGCCAAGAUCUGAUAGCUAGAGUGCCUGACGAACUAUGGAAUGAGGUUUGUGACAUUGUACAGGAGACAGGGAUCUAGACCAUCCCCAUGGAAAAGAAACGGAAAGAAGCAAAAUGGCUGUCUGAGGAGGCCUUACAAAUAGCUAUGAAAAGAAGAGAGGCGAAAAGCAAAGGAGAAAAGGAAAGAUAUAAGUAUCUGGAUGCAGAGUUCCAAAGAAUAGCAAGAAGAGAUAAGAAAGCCUUCUUCAGCAAUCAAUGCAAAGAAAUACAGGAAAACAACAGAAUGGGAAAGACUAGAGAUUUCUUCAAGAAAAUUAGGGAUACCAAGGGAACAUUUCAUGCAAAGAUGGGCUCGAUAAAGGACAGAAAUGGUAUGAACCUAACAGAAGCUGAAGAUAUUGAGAAGAGGUGGCAAGAAUACACAGAAGAACUGUACAAAAAAGAUCUUCACUACCCAGAUAAUCACAAUGGUGUGAUCACUAAUCUAGAGCCUGACAUUUUGGAAAGUGAAGUCAAGUGGGCCUUAGCAUCACUACAAACAAAGCUAGUGGAGGUGAUGGAAUUCCAGUUGAGCUGUUUCAAAUCCUGAAAGAUGAUGCUGUGAACGUGCUGCACUCAAUAUGCCAGCACAUUUGGAAAACUCACCAGUGGCCACAGGACUGGAAAAGGUCAGUUUUCAUUUCAAUUCCAAAAAAAAGGAAAUGCCAAAGAAUUCUCAAACUACCGAACAAUUGCACUCAUCUCACAUGCUAGUAAAGUAAUGCUCAAAAUUCUCCAAGCCAGGCUUCAGCAAUACGUGAACCGUGAACUCUCUGAUGUUCAAGCUGGUUUUAGAAAAGGCGAGGGACCAGAGAUCAAAUUGCCAACAUCUGCUGGAUCAAGGAAAAAGCAAGAGAGUUCCAGAAAAACAUCUAUGUCUGCUUUAUUGACAAUACAAAAGCCAUUGACUGUGUGGCUCACAAUAAACUGUGGAAAAUUCUGAAAGAGAAUGAAAUACCAGACUAACUAACCUGCCUCUUAAGAAAUCUGUAUGCAGGUCAGGAAGCAAUAGUUAGAACUGGACAUGGAACAACAGACUGGUUCCAAAUAGGAAAAGGAGUACAUCAAGGCUAUAUAUUGUCAUCGUGCUUAUUUAACUUAUAUGCAGACUCUAUCAUGAGAAACGCUGGACUGGAAGAAACACAAGCUGCAAUCAAGAUUGACGAGAGAAAUACCAAUAACCUCAGAUAUGCAGACGACACCACCCUUAUGGCAGAGAGUGAAGAGGAGCUAAAAGCCUCUUGAUGAAAGUGAAAGUGGAGAGUGAAAAGUUGGCUUAAAGCUCAACAUUCAGAAAACGAAGAUCAUGGCAUCUGGUCCUAUCACUUCAUGGGAAAUAGAUGGGGAAACAGUGGAAACAGUGUCAGACUUUAUUUUGGGGGCUCCAAAAUCACUGCAGAUGGUGAUUGCAGCCAUGAAAUUAAAAGACGCUUACUCCUUGGAAUAAAAUUUAUGACCAACUUAGGUAGUAUAUUCAAAAGCAGAAACAUUACUUUGCCGACUAAGGUUCUUCUAGUCAAGGCUAUGGUUUUUCCUGUGGUCACGUAUGGAUGUGAGAGUUGGGCUGUGAAGAAGACUGAGCUCCGAAGAAAUGAUGCUUUUGAACUCUGGUGUUGGAGAAGACUCUUGAGAGUCCCUUGGACUGCAAGGAGACCCAACCAGUCCAUUCUGAAGGAGAACAAUCCUGGAAUAUCUUUGGAAGGAAUGAUGCCAAAGCUGAAAUUCCAGUACUUUGGCCACCUCAUGAGAAGAGGUGACUCAUUGGAAAAGACUCUGAUGCUGGGAGGGAUUGGGGGCAGGAGGAGAUGGGGAUGACCGAGGAUGAGAUGGCAGGAUGGCAUCACGGACUUGAUGGACAUGAGUCUGAGUGAACUCCAGGAGAUGGUGAUGAACAGGGAGGCCUGGAGUGCUGCGAUUCAUGGGGUCGCAAAGAGUCGGACACGACUGAGCGACUGAACUGAACAUAUUGUAAGAUUAAACUUGAGAAUUCUCUUUUAUUUCAUUUGAGGUAGCCUUUGGGUAACUGGAAAGGACAGUGCAGUUACUUUCAGGAUGUCAUCUGCAAAACCAAGCCCUUUUGACAAGCGUGGUCCGAACAUUCCAGGUAUGCAUUGCUGUUAUAAAUGUGACAUCUCAGCCAGAAGGGAGAUGCGGAGCUCUUCCUGUUCCACAAACAAAUUCACAGAAGCCAAAAGUGAGAGCUGGAAAAUGAACACCAAUGACCAAAAAGUGUUCCUCAUUGGACAAAGCUAGAGAAAACCCAACAUCCUAUGGCCCAAAAACCUGCUUGGAAAUGAAUGUUCAGUAAGGAAGAGAAGAAACAUGUGAGGGUGGACAGGCCAUGCUCAUGGCCAGUGUAGUUCGAGAUGGCCUGACCUCUCAGAUGAAGACACAUGCCAGUGUAAACCCAUUGCAGACAGCAGCGACGGUCGUCACCGUGUAAGUGUUUAGUCUGGUGUCAACAUGCCCCGGGUACCACACAAGCGAGGAGACCUGGGUCUCUUCCUCUGCCCCACAUCCCACCCUCAAGAAGGCAGCUGGCUCAGCCAUGAGCUGCGAUCAUCUCCAGGUUAAACUAUACCUUGUCUUCUCUAUGCACCGUGAACCUGCACACAAUGGUCCUUCAGAACCUCAAGAAAUUCGCCCCAUCCCCACUAGAGCCAGAAGACUCCCUGGCACCCAAAUGCCUGUUGAGUCACUUUGGCCCAAGCCCUAGUUCUGGACGCCUGGAGCCUACUUCAGCCUUUACAGUGUGAAUAAUCAGGUCCUUUAUACACAUAAUCCCAGCUGUCAGAUCUGAUCUUUGUAUUCACAGUCAGCUCUGUCCCUCCCAUGGCAGCCAGGUGGCCAGCCAUGCAGGCAAAGAAGCACAUGAGAUGAGUGUCAAGGGAGGCAUUGAAAGGACAGCAGUGGAUACAACUUGUUGCAAACUGAAGGAAGGUCCCUGCGCAUCUCAGAAAAAGCCUCUGGUGUGCAAGUGUGGCCGAGGGCCACAAUGGUGCAAAGGAAAGAAUGAUACUCAGGUCAACGUUUCUUGGCCACUCCUUUAGCAGCUCCAGUGGUAGCCUGUGAGCAUUGGACAGUUAGUGUGGUCACAUGAACAUGACUCUAAUUUCCUCAGAAAGCAAGAGAAAGGGAGCAAGGUGUGGGAGGACCCAGAGGAUGUGGUGGGGUGGAUGAAGGAGGUGUCAUUCCUUUCUUCAGUGCAAACUGAUUUUGUGAAUCUCCGAGCUGCCAGAGGAUAUUUACCAAGUCAGGUCCCCACAGCACCCAGUUUGACUGGGUGCUUUAGCCCUGUCACACGGACAAGCUUCACCACGUGGCUUCCUGAGUUCUAACAGCAGGAACUUCGGGGUUUGUCUGGGUACACACUUCCUUGCUAUAGCUGAGUUACUCCUUCUUAGAGCCCCAGUUUUGUCUUCUAGAAUAAAGACAUCGAUUGCUACAUUAGCAGGUUGCUACCUUAAACCUGUGAUGACUCUUUAGGGUAAUCCUACAAUUAGUAGCUGGUCUUAAGAGAUACUGGGCUUCCUGACACCUCAGCUGGUGAAGUAUCCUUCUGCACUGCAGGAGAGCCCAGUUUGAUUCCUGGGUCAGGAAAUCCUGGUCAGCCUCAGAAGGGUCAGUAUACCCAGUCUAAUAUUCUUUGGCCUCUCUGUGGCCCAGCCGCUAAAUAAUCUGCCUGCAUGCAGAGACCUGGGUUCGACCCUGGGCUUGGAAGAUCCCCUGAGAAGGGAAAGGCUGCCCACUCCAGUUUUCUUGCCUGCAGAAUUCCAUGGAUCCUAUAGUCUACGGGUUCGCAAACAGUCGGACACAGCAGAAGGACUUGUCCCUUCACUUUCAAGAGAUAUCCCUGAAUCCAGAUUAGACUGGAGUCUCCCAGUGCCAUCUGGUGUUUCUUUCCUGAAGCCAGUCAAAACCCACACACUUGCUUUUGCAGGGUCUCCACUUAGCCUGCUGGACAGGAAAACCAGUGUUUUUACACAAGCUCACAGAUAAGCAGGAGGACUCCUAGGCAGACCACUUCCCUCCGUUCUCAGGUGGAGCUUAAGGACCACAGCAGGAGCCAGCGCUCUCAAAUCGUGGGCUCAGCAGUGCCCUCAUUCUCAAGCUGGUGCCUCUGCCCUGAUGGGAGCAGAAAGGUCGCCAAUUGCCCCAGGCGAACCUCACACUCCUCUCACUGCUGUAGACUGACCUCACCAGCCCCGCCCCUUCCAGCAGAACCAGAGCUCCUCUUCCCGUUGAUUGCAGCCUGAGUCCUGGCCCUGGGCCCCGAUUGGUCACUGCCCAAAUCCUGAGCCCAUCAUGGUAGCCAGGGAGGAUGGAACACACAGAUUGGACAGAUUCAGGUCAUGUGCCCAUACUCUCCAGGACACCUGUGAGGGCCUCACCCUAUGUCAGAGAUGGAGACAGUGCUGAUGCCCCAAGAGCAGGGCUGAGAAUCAGGUCACUGUGUCCUUUUACUCCGUGUCCUGGGACGAGCUUGCACAACGUCUCUACACAGCACUUUGUUCUCUGCAGACAAAAUAUUCAUGGCACACCUCUUCCCUUCCCAAGCGUAGUUUCACGCAACACUAUUCAAGGGAGCAAGGCCUCCUCUUUGAAGAUAGGUUUGGAGAUUCCCCUCCUAGCAUCUAGGUUUCUUCUGUGUGUCAUGGUAGAAUAAUUGAUUCAGUGAAAAAUACCCACUAGCACCACCACAUGCUGCUCUGUGUUUUCAGGAUUCUUGCCUGUUCUGAGUACAGAACAUAUUCCAGGGCCCCUCAAAUGGAGUGAAUUUUGUCCAAGGAAGCCCCUGAGACACUGAAUCCCUCUAUCAUGUUGCUGUCCGCCUUAAACUAACAAAUCUUUAAAAAUGCAUAAUACCUCGAUUAUAAAGUAAGAUAUUCACUCUCAGAAAUUGUUAUAAAAUUUGUCAAGUUUUUCUUUCAUUGUUGGUUCUUUGUAUGUGUCUUAAUUGCUAUGGUGGUGUUUUGUGAGGCAGGGAUCCAACUUACUUUCCCAAUGGGUUCAAAAUAGCUCCAAUGGGCCUGCUCUCUUCCUUUACAUUUUAAGGUCAUUUCAGUUCAGUCACUCAGUCGUGUCCGACUCUCUGAGACCCCAUGAAUCACAGCACGCCAGGCUCCCCUGUCCAUCACUAAC